CCCCUAGUAACUGCGAGUGAAGCGGGAAAAGCUCAAAUUUAAAAUCUGGCGGUUUCACCGUCCGAGUUGUAAUUUAGAGAAGUGUUAUCCGCGCUGGACCGUGUACAAGUCUCCUGGAAUGGAGCGUCAUAGAGGGUGAGAAUCCCGUCUUUGACACGGACUACCAGGGCAUUGUGAUACGCUCUCAAAGAGUCGAGUUGUUUGGGAUUGCAGCUCAAAAUGGGUGGUAAAUUCCAUCUAAAGCUAAAUAUUGGGGAGAGACCGAUAGCGAACAAGUACCGUGAGGGAAAGAUGAAAAGAACUUUGGAAAGAGAGUUAAACAGUACGUGAAAUUGCUGAAAGGGAAACGCUUGAAGUCAGUCGCGUCGUUCAGGAUUCAGCUUUAGCAUCUGCUUUGUGCAUUUCCUGUUUGACGGGUCAGCAUCAGUUUUGGCCGGUGGAUAAAGGUUCAGAGAAUGUGGCAUCCUCGGAUGUGUUAUAGCUCUGGGUCGCAUACAUCGGGUGGGACUGAGGAACUCAGCACGCCGCAAGGCCAGGUUCGACC
rnacentral:rRNA from 1 species